rnacentral:rRNA from 1 species
AGUUUGAUCCUGGCUCAGGAUGAACGCUGGCGGCGUGCCUAAUACAUGCAAGUCGAGCGAACAGAUAAGGAGCUUGCUCCUUUGACGUUAGCGGCGGACGGGUGAGUAACACGUGGGUAACCUACCUAUAAGACUGGGAUAACUUCGGGAAACCGGAGCUAAUACCGGAUAAUAUUUCGAACCGCAUGGUUCGAUAGUGAAAGAUGGUUUUGCUAUCACUUAUAGAUGGACCCGCGCCGUAUUAGCUAGUUGGUAAGGUAACGGCUUACCAAGGCAACGAUACGUAGCCGACCUGAGAGGGUGAUCGGCCACACUGGAACUGAGACACGGUCCAGACUCCUACGGGAGGCAGCAGUAGGGAAUCUUCCGCAAUGGGCGAAAGCCUGACGGAGCAACGCCGCGUGAGUGAUGAAGGUCUUCGGAUCGUAAAACUCUGUUAUUAGGGAAGAACAUACGUGUAAGUAACUAUGCACGUCUUGACGGUACCUAAUCAGAAAGCCACGGCUAACUACGUGCCAGCAGCCGCGGUAAUACGUAGGUGGCAAGCGUUAUCCGGAAUUAUUGGGCGUAAAGCGCGCGUAGGCGGUUUUUUAAGUCUGAUGUGAAAGCCCACGGCUCAACCGUGGAGGGUCAUUGGAAACUGGAAAACUUGAGUGCAGAAGAGGAAAGUGGAAUUCCAUGUGUAGCGGUGAAAUGCGCAGAGAUAUGGAGGAACACCAGUGGCGAAGGCGACUUUCUGGUCUGUAACUGACGCUGAUGUGCGAAAGCGUGGGGAUCAAACAGGAUUAGAUACCCUGGUAGUCCACGCCGUAAACGAUGAGUGCUAAGUGUUAGGGGGUUUCCGCCCCUUAGUGCUGCAGCUAACGCAUUAAGCACUCCGCCUGGGGAGUACGACCGCAAGGUUGAAACUCAAAGGAAUUGACGGGGACCCGCACAAGCGGUGGAGCAUGUGGUUUAAUUCGAAGCAACGCGAAGAACCUUACCAAAUCUUGACAUCCUUUGAUCGCUCUAGAGAUAGAGUUUUCCCCUUCGGGGGACAAAGUGACAGGUGGUGCAUGGUUGUCGUCAGCUCGUGUCGUGAGAUGUUGGGUUAAGUCCCGCAACGAGCGCAACCCUUAAACUUAGUUGCCAGCAUUCAGUUGGGCACUCUAAGUUGACUGCCGGUGACAAACCGGAGGAAGGUGGGGAUGACGUCAAAUCAUCAUGCCCCUUAUGAUUUGGGCUACACACGUGCUACAAUGGACAAUACAAAGGGCAGCGAAACCGCGAGGUCAAGCAAAUCCCAUAAAGUUGUUCUCAGUUCGGAUUGUAGUCUGCAACUCGACUACAUGAAGCUGGAAUCGCUAGUAAUCGUAGAUCAGCAUGCUACGGUGAAUACGUUCCCGGGUCUUGUACACACCGCCCGUCACACCACGAGAGUUUGUAACACCCGAAGCCGGUGGAGUAACCAUUUUGGAGCUAGCCGUCGAAGGUGGGACAAAUGAUUGGGGUGAAGUCGUAACAAGGUAGCCGUAUCGGAAGGUGCGGCUGGAUCACCUCCUUA